rnacentral:misc_RNA from 1 species
UGGUUCUCGCAUCGAUGAAGAACGCAGCGAAUUGCGAUAUGUAAUGUGAAUUGCAGAAUUCAGUGAAUCAUCGAAUCUUUGAACGCAUCUUGUGCCUUUUGGUUACUCCGAAGGGCAUGCCUGUUUGAGAGUCAUUAUGUUUGUACUCUGAAGCUUGGAUGUGGGGGAACUUUUGCUGGCAUCUGGAAUGUUGGCUUCCCUUAAAUAUAUUAGCAGGACUUGAUUGUCUCUGGCUCUGGUUUGAUAAAUAUCUAUGCCAUUGCUUGGGAUGACUUGAAAGGUUCAGCUUCUAACUUGAUAAUUUCUUGAAACUUGACCUCAAAUCAGGUAGGACUACCCGCUGA